GUUCUGCGGCACAUACACUAAAAUUGAACGGAUACAGAGAUGAGUAUGUCCCCUGAGAGGAUGACACACAAUUUGUGAAGCAUCCCGUGUUUUU
rnacentral:snRNA from 1 species